AACGAACGCUGGCGGCAGGCUUAACACAUGCAAGUCGAGCGCCCCGCAAGGGGAGCGGCAGACGGGUGAGUAACGCGUGGGAACGUACCUUUUGGUUCGGAACAACUCCGGGAAACUGGAGCUAAUACCGGAUAAGCCCUAACGGGGAAAGAUUUAUCGCCGAAAGAUCGGCCCGCGUCUGAUUAGCUAGUUGGUGAGGUAACGGCUCACCAAGGCGACGAUCAGUAGCUGGUCUGAGAGGAUGAUCAGCCACACUGGGACUGAGACACGGCCCAGACUCCUACGGGAGGCAGCAGUGGGGAAUAUUGGACAAUGGGCGCAAGCCUGAUCCAGCCAUGCCGCGUGAGUGAUGAAGGCCUUAGGGUUGUAAAGCCCUUUUGUCCGGGAAGAUAAUGACUGUACCGGAAGAAUAAGCCCCGGCUAACUUCGUG
rnacentral:rRNA from 1 species